rnacentral:rRNA from 1 species
GACUUUCACUUGGGUGGGAAGUAAAAGUCGUAACAAGGUCU